rnacentral:rRNA from 1 species
UACGUAGGGUGCAAGCGUUGUCCGGAAUUAUUGGGCGUAAAGAGCUCGUAGGCGGUUUGUCGCGUCGUCUGUGAAAUUCUGCAACUCAAUUGUAGGCGUGCAGGCGAUACGGGCAGACUUGAGUACUACAGGGGAGACUGGAAUUCCUGGUGUAGCGGUGAAAUGCGCAGAUAUCAGGAGGAACACCGGUGGCGAAGGCGGGUCUCUGGGUAGUAACUGACGCUGAGGAGCGAAAGCGUGGGUAGCGAACAGG